UGAACAGGAAGGAUUACUUUAUAAAUAAAUUAGCUGCAAGACCUACCUGCCGAACUAAUGCAAAAAUAACUGGAAAAACAAGAUCUGUUAUUGAAACAAUCCAAAAUCAAUCACAACAGAUUGAAUCAAAUUUUAAGACCAUAGAAAUCGAAAAACUCAAAUCGAGGUAGAAUUCACAAAUCACUGUCGCCUGAAACACCCUAAAUUUCUUCAACUUCAACCUAGUGGAACAAACUAAAUCUUAACCUACAAAUCUCAAACAAAUCUGAUUAAAUUACUUACCUAAUACAUACAUAUAAACAAAUAUUAUCAUUGUACCUUUUCAUGGUUGCCAAAAAACGAUCUAGUAUGUACAAACAAUCUGCGGCAGCGUCUUUAACGAUUCACGAUUUCAAUUUUCAAAACAUAAAAAGUAAAUAAUAAUUCAAUAAAAUUAAAACAUAAAAAACUAUUUCGAGAUACACUUUCUUCCGAAGACGAACAACAAGGUAGCAAAACAGAUGCGUGUGCUUACACCUCCGAAGCAAAAGAAUGAAUCGAAUCAAAGAUUUCAGUUCAGAGGUGAAGACACACGUAUCAGUUUCACUAACCUAGACACAAGCCCUUCUUGCGCAGCCGAAAACAACACGAACCCUAAAGAUGAAGUUAGUAAGGUGGGAUGAUGGUGAUUUAUAUAGCGUUUCAUUAGGUCAAACACAAGGAGGGUUUCGUAAUUUUGCCAUGUGUUAUUUUUUCUUUUCUUUUUUUCUAAGCCCAAAAUUCUUACCGUGUUUUAAUCGAAU
rnacentral:lncRNA from 1 species